UUAAAAAGUUAAGUCCUAACGGUUUAUAAAUUACUCGAAAUAUCGUUAUGGGAAAUAUUGUAAAACUGGCCUGUUUGGUGUAUAUUGUAACCAUAUAUUACUGUGAGGCAGGUUGCAUUCGUAACACUGUUACCGACCGGAGAAUGUUUGGCUGUUAUAUUAAUGGACGUUACCUUUUUGCUGGGCAAACGAGGAAAAUUGGAUGUCAAAUUUGUCAUUGUGAAGCAGACCUACGCAGGGGACAAUGUUGUUCAGUUGGAAUAUAUAUUACAAGUCAUCCAGAUGAUUGUAAAGUUAUAAAAGAAGAAUGUACUGAGAGAGUUGUCAAGAUCAGCGACGAGUCAGAACCGUGUGAAAAUGCGACAGCAGUUGGAAGAUGAUUUAUCACGUGCAGAGUAUUUGUCUAGGAAAACUACAGAUACGAUUACAGAAUAUAAAAUUGAUGUAAUAAUUCAAAUACAUUCUGACUGCUAACGUUUGUUUAUUUCAACAAGAGGCUGGAUUUCGCAUGACGCUAAUGAUGCUUUUACCUGGUGCCAAAUUCUAAAGUCCAAUUUAUUCAAAGAUGUAUAAAAUAACUUAUACAAGUAAUAUUUUUUCCUUAUUUCUAAAAUAACCUUUUAUCUCUAUACUCAUCUCAAAUAUAAUAGAUUCUUGAUUUUAUGUAAUAAAUUGAUGUAAAUAACUACA